rnacentral:tRNA from 1 species
CAGAGGGUAGUUUAUAUAAAAAUUUUAAUUUUGGAGAUUAAAGAAAUUAGUUUUCCUCUGA